rnacentral:rRNA from 2 species
UUUGACCUCGAAUCAGGUAGGGAUACCCGCUGAACUUAAGCAUAUCAAUAAGCGGAGG